ensembl:snRNA U1 U1 spliceosomal RNA
CAGCUUGCGGCAGAGGAGGCAUCAUGCUCAGGAAGACUGUUGUUCCGGAAUGUGGCUCAUCUCUCACACUCUGCUGACACUGCAGUUUUCCAAAAUGGGAGAAAUCUGGCUGCAUAGUAUCUAGUAGUGGAGGACUAUACUUGUAUUCCUCCU